CUAGGAAUCUGCCUGGUAGUGGGGGAUAACGUCCGGAAACGGACGCUAAUACCGCAUACGUCCUACGGGAGAAAGCAGGGGACCUUCGGGCCUUGCGCUAUCAGAUGAGCCUAGGUCGGAUUAGCUAGUUGGUGGGGUAAUGGCUCACCAAGGCGACGAUCCGUAACUGGUCUGAGAGGAUGAUCAGUCACACUGGAACUGAGACACGGUCCAGACUCCUACGGGAGGCAGCAGUGGGGAAUAUUGGACAAUGGGCGAAAGCCUGAUCCAGCCAUGCCGCGUGUGUGAAGAAGGUCUUCGGAUUGUAAAGCACUUUAAGUUGGGAGGAAGGGCAGUAAAUUAAUACUUUGCUGUUUUGACGUUACCGACAGAAUAAGCACCGGCUAACUCUGUGCCAGCAGCCGCGGUAAUACAGAGGGUGCAAGCGUUAAUCGGAAUUACUGGGCGUAAAGCGCGCGUAGGUGGUUCGUUAAGUUGGAUGUGAAAUCCCCGGGCUCAACCUGGGAACUGCAUUCAAAACUGACGAGCUAGAGUAUGGUAGAGGGUGGUGGAAUUUCCUGUGUAGCGGUGAAAUGCGUAGAUAUAGGAAGGAACACCAGUGGCGAA
rnacentral:rRNA from 1 species